ACUAAAGUACUACAAGUCCUCUGCUGCCAUCUGCUGUGACUGGCUCCAAAUAUACAAGAGAUUAACGGACGCUUCCUUAUCAAGAGAAACCCGACUGACCGGUGCUCAGCAGAUGUUCCUAACUACGAGUGUAACAACAAACUACAAGUACAACAUGAAGAAAACUACAGACACACAGUACCAUGUGGAACCCGGCCCGAGCUUUUGCUUAUCCCAAUACUAAGAUUUCCAAUAGGGUCAAGGGUGCAAUGAUCUUCAGACUCUACAUCAAUACAACGGCAAGAAACCAAUAACACAAAGAGUGGGAGACAAAACUUCACUUCCAAGAUUCCCAUGCCAUUUUACCCAGGAGCCAAUGC